rnacentral:lncRNA from 1 species
GUAUUUUUGAAAAGAAUUUCAUAUUAUAUCUACCUUGAGCAAAGCCACUAAAAUCUAGUUCCAAUGACUUUAGGCUAAACAUUUGAAAAGCUCCUUGAGUAUUAUAACCAACACAUAGGGUUUGAUUCUGUGUGAAUUUACCUGUACAUGGAGUCAUUGAGAGGAAUGACCAAAACCACUGGAGGUUUGAAAAAUACUUGUUUUUGUAAAAUGUCAUCUGGUGUGACAUAGUGAACAAUAUUCAAAUCUAGUUGAUUGGUGCCAGCACAAAACUUGAAAUUUUGGUCAAUGGCCAGUAACAUAACAUGACCCUCGUUCUUCUGUGCCUAGUGCAAAUAGAAAGCAGUCAGAUUUCAAAAAUUGCUUGUAACUCGCAUUUUGAAUUUCCAUGCUACAAAUGCAAGUGACCUGUAUAAAAAAGUAAGAGGAUUUAUAAAAGUAUUUGAAUGAAUCUCAACUAAACUAUACCUUAUGAGAAACACUCCAAGAAUUUAAAAUCAUUGACGUGACAUAAUUGUAAAGAGCUACAGCAGUGCCAGUAUUGGAACUCUAACCGACAAGGGCAAGAUUUUAAUUUGGAAUUCAUGCUACACAAGUGAUUUCAAAUUCUUGUCCUUGUGGACAUUGGAAAUGUCUAAUCUGCACUCUGCUGUAUGUUGUUGACACAACAUAAACCAAACACCAAGUUGGACUCUGAAAACAAAAAUCAGAAUAAUAGUUUUGGGUAACAUCUAUAAGAAGACAUUAUCCUUACCAGUUAAAGAUCCAUGAAUAAUAUUUCGACAUUCUUUAUCUGCCGAGUUCACCAGUGAAGACGAGAAUUUCACAGCAGACUUCACAUCGACGGGCUCAAUCCACUCUAUAUUCUCGAAUUAGUUUUAAAGCCUUUCGAUUUAAUUCAAACUAGUUAUGAUUAUAGUUUUGAAAACAAGAGAGAACUUCAAGUAUUUCCUUUACACAUCUUACGUUUACCCACGUUUUGUAAACUGAUAUCCACAAACAAAAUACAAUUUUCAAAAUUGCCUAUGGCAAAAAGGCUUCUUAGGGGGGAAAAUGUGGCUGCCCUAAUGCUGAUAAUUACUUUUUUGCUGAUUAGCACUUGUUUUUUAAUAUUUUUAAAUAUUGAAAAAAAGUUUAACUCGGCAUCAUAACAAACAAGGUAAAAUAAGGAUAAUUUUCAAUAACAAUUAUAGAUAAUGCAAAUAAUAAGAAACGGAAAAAGAUCCCGAAAAUUUUUGUACCAAUAAUGUUUAUUUUAACCAUAAUAAUAGACAAUCUACUGUAAAAUGUAAACGCAACUUGAAUCUAUGUAGUCUAAGUCUUGCACAAUUUUCCAUCGCUGCAGCGGACACGAACAUCGUAGCGAACUGGGUCUGCAAUAAAACAGGUUGUCAAUCUACUAAUAAUGAAUAAACGUUACGACUGACAGUAUUGGCUUUAUCAGUUAUUUACAGCCAAAGUAUGAGUUUCAUAAGAAAUCAAACGGUAACUCGUUUUCAUCACGUCAACAUCCUAUCAUGUGAAUUAUGCGGAAAUUACCUCUACACGGACCCAAGGAAGCACAUUCUACGGGCCGACUUCAUAUUCAUAAUGCACCUCAGCUGAAACGAAUCCUACAGAAAAUAAGCCUUUUAGUAAAGAUACUUUGUAAAAAUGUAAGAAUCUACUUUGUUUUAAUCAGAUCUUCUUAGAGGUAGACUGCUCAUGGUUAAUGCAGCACAAGUUUUGUCAUCAUACAAUAAAAAGAAGGAUGAAAAUAA